rnacentral:rRNA from 1 species
UAGUCUGGUGCCAGCAGCCGCGGUAAUACGGGAGUGGCAAGCGUUAUCCGGAAUUAUUGGGCGUAAAGCGUCCGCAGGCGGCUUUUCAAGUCUGCUGUUAAAGCGUGGAGCUUAACUCCAUCAUGGCAGUGGAAACUGAAAGGCUUGAGUAUGGUAGGGGCAGAGGGAAUUCCCGGUGUAGCGGUGAAAUGCGUAGAUAUCGGGAAGAACACCAGUGGCGAAGGCGCUCUGCUGGGCCAUUACUGACGCUCAUGGACGAAAGCCAGGGGAGCGAAAGGGAUUAGAUACCCCUGUAGUCCUGGCCGUAAACGAUGAACACUAGGUGUCGGGGGAAUCGACCCCCUCGGUGUCGUAGCUAACGCGUUAAGUGUUCCGCCUGGGGAGUACGCACGCAAGUGUGAAACUCAAAGGAAUUGACGGGGGCCCGCACAAGCGGUGGAGUAUGUGGUUUAAUUCGAUGCAACGCGAAGAACCUUACCAGGGUUUGACAUCCUGCGAACCUCUUAGAAAUUUGAGGGUGCCUUCGGGAAUGCAGUGACAGGUGGUGCAUGGCCGUUCUU